UUAAAUUGAAGAGUUUGAUCAUGGCUCAGAUUGAACGCUGGCGGCAGGCCUAACACAUGCAAGUCGAACGGUAACAGGAAGCAGCUUGCUGUUUCGCUGACGAGUGGCGGACGGGUGAGUAAUGUCUGGGAAACUGCCUGAUGGAGGGGGAUAACUACUGGAAACGGUAGCUAAUACCGCAUAACGUCGCAAGACCAAAGAGGGGGAC
rnacentral:rRNA from 1 species